rnacentral:rRNA from 1 species
CCUACGGGGGGCAGCAGUCGAGAAUCAUUCACAAUGGGGGAAACCCUGAUGGGGCGACGCCGCGUGGGGGAAUGAAGGUCUUCGGAUUGUAAACCCCUGUCAUGUGGGAGCAAAUUAAAAAGAUAGUACCACAAGAGGAAGAGACGGCUAACUCUGUGCCAGCAGCCGCGGUAAUACAGAGGUCUCAAGCGUUGUUCGGAAUCACUGGGCGUAAGGCGUGCGUAGGCUGUUUCGUAAGUCGUGUGUGAAAGGCGCGGGCUCAACCCGCGGACGGCACAUGAUACUGCGAGACUAGAGUAAUGGAGGGGGAACCGGAAUUCUCGGUGUAGCAGUGAAAUGCGUAGAUAUCGAGAGGAACACUCGUGGCGAAGGCGGGUUCCUGGACAUUAACUGACGCUGAGGCACGAAGGCCAGGGGAGCGAAAGGGAUUAGAUACCCCAGUAGUC